rfam:Streptococcus sanguinis SK36, complete genome.
UUAACCUUUAAUCAAGUCCAGUGAGGCUGCAAGGUGGGGAAACGGUAUAAGAGGCAAUUGGCUGCCUUGUUUUUUGCGAAACCUUGCUGCGGCAAGGUUUUUUCUUGU